rnacentral:rRNA from 1 species
AUUGAACGCUGGCGGCAUGCCUAACACAUGCAAGUCGAGCGGUAGAGAGGUGCUUGCAUCUCUUGAGAGCGGCGGACGGGUGAGUAAUGCCUAGGAAUCUGCCUAGUGGUGGGGGAUAACGCAGCGAAAAGCUGUGCUAAUACCGCAUACGCCCUGAGGGGGAAAGCGGGGGAUCGAAAAACCUCGCGCGAUUAGAGCGGCCGAUGCCUGAUUAGCUUGUUGGUGGGGUAAAAGCCCACCAAGGCGACGAUCAGUAGCUGGUCUGAGAGGACGAUCAGCCACACUGGGACUGAGACACGGCCCAGACUCCUACGGGAGGCAGCAGUGAGGAAUUUUGGACAAUGGGCGCAAGCCUGAUCCAGCAAUGCCGCGUGCAGGAUGAAGGCCUUCGGGUUGUAAACUGCUUUGUACGGAACGAAACGGUGAGCUCUAAUACAGUUUGCUAAUGACGGUACCGUAAGAAUAAGCACCGGCUAACUACGUG